AGUCGAGGGGUAUACUUCUUCGGGAGUAGAGACCGGCGCACGGGUGCGUAACGCGUAUGCAAUCUACCUUUUACAGAGGGAUAGCCCAGAGAAAUUUGGAUUAAUACCUCAUAGUAUAUAGAGUUGGCAUCAACACUAUAUUAAAGUCACAACGGUAAAAGAUGAGCAUGCGUCCCAUUAGCUAGUUGGUAAGGUAACGGCUUACCAAGGCUACGAUGGGUAGGGGUCCUGAGAGGGAGAUCCCCCACACUGGUACUGAGACACGGACCAGACUCCUACGGGAGGCAGCAGUGAGGAAUAUUGGACAAUGGGCGCAAGCCUGAUCCAGCCAUGCCGCGUGCAGGAUGACGGUCCUAUGGAUUGUAAACUGCUUUUAUACGAGAAGAAACACUCCGACGUGUCGGAGCUUGACGGUAUCGUAAGAAUAAGGAUCGGCUAACUCCGUGCCAGCAGCCGCGGUAAUACGGAGGAUCCAAGCGUUAUCCGGAAUCAUUGGGUUUAAAGGGUCCGUAGGCGGUUUAAUAAGUCAGUGGUGAAAGCCCAUCGCUCAACGGUGGAACGGCCAUUGAUACUGUUAGACUUGAAUUAUUAGGAAGUAACUAGAAUAUGUAGUGUAGCGGUGAAAUGCUUAGAGAUUACAUGGAAUACCAAUUGCGAAGGCAGGUUACUACUAAUUGAUUGACGCUGAUGGACGAAAGCGUGGGUAGCGAACAGGAUUAGAUACCCUGGUAGUCCACGCCGUAAACGAUGGAUACUAGCUGUUGGGAGCAAUUUCAGUGGCUAAGCGAAAGUGAUAAGUAUCCCACCUGGGGAGUACGUUCGCAAGAAUGAAACUCAAAGGAAUUGACGGGGGCCCGCACAAGCGGUGGAGCAUGUGGUUUAAUUCGAUGAUACGCGAGGAACCUUACCAAGGCUUAAAUGUAGAUUGACCGGUUUGGAAACAGACUUUUCGCAAGACAAUUUACAAGGUGCUGCAUGGUUGUCGUCAGCUCGUGCC
rnacentral:rRNA from 1 species